rnacentral:rRNA from 1 species
AGUGAACGUUGGCGGCGUGGAUUAGGCAUGCAAGUCGAGCGAGAACCGUAGCAAUACGGGGACAGCGGCGAAAGGGACAGUAAUGUGUAGGUACCUACCUCCGGGUUCGGGAUAGCUGCGGGAAACUGCAGGUAAUACCGAAUAACGUCUCCGGACCAAAGGUGUGAUUCCACCUGGAGAGGGGCCUGCAUCCUAUUAGCUUGUUGGCGGGGUAACGGCCCACCAAGGCGACGGUGGGUAGCGGGUGUGAGAGCACGACCCGCGUCAUUGGGACUGAGACACUGCCCAGACACCUACGGGUGGCUGCAGUCGUGAAUCUUCGGCAAUGGGCGCAAGCCUGACCGAGCGACGCCGCGUGCGGGAUGACGGCCUUCGGGUUGUAAACCGCUGUCGUAGAGGAGGAAAUGCAGGGGGGUUCUCCCCUCUGUUUGACCUAUUCUAGGAGGAAGUACGGGCUAAGUUCGUGCCAGCAGCCGCCGUAA